UUGCUAUGAUGAUAUAUCAGUUUAUUGAAUGUUUGGUGAUAUUUUGGCAGUAAUGUCGAACCUGAGCGGUUAACUGAGCAA
rfam:Lupinus angustifolius cultivar Tanjil contig_13547, whole genome shotgun sequence.